rnacentral:lncRNA from 1 species
AUGUUCCGUAGAUGGCACGGCCCCCUCGCUCCAUCCUUGAGCCGAAUGGAGAGGGCAUUCAUGACCAACCUGAAAUCAUGCGGGAAACCUGCAUCAAGGCUGGGCCAGUUCAGAGGACUAGGAAAGCUGUCUUCUGCUAAUGAAGUGCACUUGUGUGAGGUUUUGAAGGUAGAAGAGAAAUGGAAUAUAUUCUUCUUCCCUGUGCAUCGAGGUUGGACAUGGAAGCUGUGAACUGAAGUUUGGCACUUGCCAUCAGCCUCUACAUGGAGUAAAACAGUCCCUGCAGCUGCCGACCCACAAGCCCCCUGAGCGGACCUCAGGGUGGAGGCCAGAGGGAGGCCCUCUGUGCUCUGGGGAUACUGGAAGAACAGGUCUUCAGAUGGUUAGACAUUUUUAGGAGAAGAUUUUAUGAGCCUGAUUCUUGCAUCUCCUCAUAUCUAGAAAAACACUAAAAUUCUUCAGUGAUGACUGAUGUUGGUGACUAGUAGUAACCCUCACGAGACCAGCAGCAAACUUCGACAAAACGUAUGCCUGGCUGCAUGCACCUCCCC